CGAAAAGUCUGACGGAGCAACGCCGCGUGAGUGAAGAAGGUUUUCGGAUCGUAAAGCUCUGUCUUCAGGGACGAAUGUGCUUAAUGUGAAUAAUGUUAAGUAAUGACGGUACCUGAGGAGGAAGCCACGGCUAACUACGUGCCAGCAGCCGCGGUAAUACGUAGGUGGCAAGCGUUGUCCGGAAUUAUUGGGCGUAAAGCGCGCGCAGGCGGGAAUGUAAGUCUGUCUUAAAAGUUCGGGGCUCAACCCCGUGAUGGGAUGGAAACUACAUUUCUUGAGUGCAGGAGAGGAAAGUGGAAUUCCUAGUGUAGCGGUGAAAUGCGUAGAUAUUAGGAGGAACACCAGUGGCGAAGGCGACUUUCUGGACUGUGUCUGACGCUGAGGCGCGAAAGCCAGGGGAGUGAACGGGAUUAGAUACCCCGGUAAUCCUGGCCGUAAACGAUGGGUACUAGGUGUAGGAGGUAUCGACCCCUUCUGUGCCGGAGUUAACGCAAUAAGUACCCCGCCUGGGGAGUA
rnacentral:rRNA from 1 species